GGGUGUGAGGGAGACCUGGCUGCAACAUCUGUCACCCCAUUGGUGGCCAGGUUGAUUCGGCUGACCUCGCUGACCAGGCGGGUGUCCCCGCCCUCCCUCACUGCCUCACGUGUGUCCCUCCCAAAGCUGUGCACGUGGUGGAAGGGGACAGCCUUCCCCAUAGAAGAGGACCGUUCUUGGGUCAAGGGUAAUGAGUGGCUGCACUCCCCUGCUAGAACCUCCAAGCAAACCCUCAAGGUGCAUUUGUAGGAGAACAUAGGGUUCCAAGCUCCCAAGGCUCCAGACCCAUCCACAUGAGGUGCCACAUGUGGUAGUCUGACUUUCUUC
ensembl:misc_RNA 7SK 7SK RNA